AUUGAACGCUGGCGGCAGGCCUAACACAUGCAAGUCGAACGGUAACAGGAAGCAGCUUGCUGCUUCGCUGACGAGUGGCGGACGGGUGAGUAAUGUCUGGGAAGCUGCCUGAUGGAGGGGGAUAACUACUGGAAACGGUAGCUAAUACAGCAUAAUGUCGCAAGACCAAAGAGGGGGACCUUUGGGCCUCUUGCCAUCGGAUGUGCCCAGAUGGGAUUAGCUUGUUGGUGGGGUAACGGCUCACCAAGGCGACGAUCCCUAGCUGGUCUGAGAGGAUGACCAGCCACACUGGGACUGAGACACGGUCCAGACUCCUACGGGAGGCAGCAGUGGGGAAUAUUGCACAAUGGGCGCAAGCCUGAUGCAGCCAUGCCGCGUGUAUGAAGAAGGCCUUCGGGUUGUAAAGUACUUUCAGCGGGGAGGAAGGGAGUAAGGUUAAUACCUUGGCUCAUUGACGUUACCCGCAGAAGAAGCACCGGCUAACUCCGUG
rnacentral:rRNA from 1 species